GGGCGUGUGGCUCAGUUGGUAGAGCGUUCGCUUAGCAUGCGAAAGGUCCUGGGUUCGAUUCCCAGCUCAUCCA
rnacentral:tRNA from 2 species